rnacentral:rRNA from 1 species
GAUGAACGCUGGCGGCGUGCUUAACACAUGCAAGUCGAACGAUGAAGCCCAGCUUGCUGGGUGGAUUAGUGGCGAACGGGUGAGUAACACGUGAGUAACCUGCCCUUGACUCUGGGAUAAGCCUGGGAAACUGGGUCUAAUACCGGAUAGGAACGUCCACCGCAUGGUGGGUGUUGGAAAGAUUUAUCGGUCAUGGAUGGACUCGCGGCCUAUCAGCUUGUUGGUGAGGUAAUGGCUCACCAAGGCGACGACGGGUAGCCGGCCUGAGAGGGUGACCGGCCACACUGGGACUGAGACACGGCCCAGACUCCUACGGGAGGCAGCAGUGGGGAAUAUUGCACAAUGGGCGAAAGCCUGAUGCAGCGACGCCGCGUGAGGGAUGACGGCCUUCGGGUUGUAAACCUCUUUCAGUAGGGAAGAAGCGAAAGUGACGGUACCUGCAGAAGAAGCACCGGCUAACUACGUGCCAGCAGCCGCGGUAAUACGUAGGGUGCGAGCGUUAUCCGGAAUUAUUGGGCGUAAAGAGCUCGUAGGCGGUUUGUCGCGUCUGUCGUGAAAGUCCGGGGCUUAACCCCGGAUCUGCGGUGGGUACGGGCAGACUAGAGUGCAGUAGGGGAGACUGGGAUUCCUGGUGUAGCGGUGGAAUGCGCAGAUAUCAGGAGGAACACCGAUGGCGAAGGCAGGUCUCUGGGCUGUAACUGACGCUGAGGAGCGAAAGCAUGGGGAGCGAACAGGAUUAGAUACCCUGGUAGUCCAUGCCGUAAACGUUGGGCACUAGGUGUGGGGACCAUUCCACGGUUUCCGCGCCGCAGCUAACGCAUUAAGUGCCCCGCCUGGGGAGUACGGCCGCAAGGCUAAAACUCAAAGGAAUUGACGGGGGCCCGCACAAGCGGCGGAGCAUGCGGAUUAAUUCGAUGCAACGCGAAGAACCUUACCAAGGCUUGACAUGUUCUCGAUCGCCGUAGAGAUACGGUUUCCCCUUUGGGGCGGGAUCACAGGUGGUGCAUGGUUGUCGUCAGCUCGUGUCGUGAGAUGUUGGGUUAAGUCCCGCAACGAGCGCAACCCUCGUUCCAUGUUGCCAGCACGUAAUGGUGGGGACUCAUGGGAGACUGCCGGGGUCAACUCGGAGGAAGGUGGGGACGACGUCAAAUCAUCAUGCCCCUUAUGUCUUGGGCUUCACGCAUGCUACAAUGGCCGGUACAAUGGGUUGCGAUACUGUGAGGUGGAGCUAAUCCCAAAAAGCCGGUCUCAGUUCGGAUUGGGGUCUGCAACUCGACCCCAUGAAGUCGGAGUCGCUAGUAAUCGCAGAUCAGCAACGCUGCGGUGAAUAAAAUCCCGGGCCU